CACGUAGGGCGCAAGCGUUGUCCGGAAUUAUUGGGCGUAAAGAGCUCGUAGGCGGUCUGUCGCGUCUGCUGUGAAAAUCCAGGGCUCAACCCUGGACCUGCAGUGGGUACGGGCAGACUAGAGUGCGGUAGGGGAGAUCGGAAUUCCUGGUGUAGCGGUGAAAUGCGCAGAUAUCAGGAGGAACACCGGUGGCGAAGGCGGAUCUCUGGGCCGUAACUGACGCUGAGGAGCGAAAGCAUGGGGAGCGAACAGG
rnacentral:rRNA from 1 species